CCGACUAUAAAUUGAAUUUGAGCACUUAAUUACAGCACAAUAUCAUAAUCAAUAAUCUAAUGUGCUGUGUGUCAUUGUCCUGAAGGUUUCAGGACAAUAAAGAGCAUUAACUUUGACACAAACAAGUCAUUGAGAAGGAAAAUCUGGUGACACAAAGGUUAUGGGAUAAAGUUAGGAGAAAGGCAGAAAGGAAACGAAGGCUGGAGUCAGACUGUCAAAACCGAAGCGAGGCUGGAUAACAUGCAGUCAGCGGAAAGAAGGUAAGUCAGAGGAAGACAGCGAGUGAGGGGCGUCUGAGGGGAAAUUUAUUUAAAACCACUUGGAGGCAGGCGGUUCGGUUUGAUGAUGUCUGUGACAGUAACCGGCUCCAUUAGACAUGAAAAGCAACAUAGCUUCUAAAUGAAACGUACUUGAUCCAACCAGCCACACAGCAUCCAACGAGUCCGGGUCGUGUAACGAGGAGGCGGCGGCCGGGGAAAGCAGCUGCCACGUGCGGCUACAGAGACGGAGGCAGGACCGCAGGACGAGUGGCGGUCAGGUCCAAUUACCGGGAAAAGCAGUGCCUCCGGGCGGAUGACGCAGUAGGUAAACACGCUCUGUGACAGGUGUCAGUGAGAGAGUGGAGGCUGACGAGACUGGAGGAGCGGGGAAGCGUGUUGGUGUGGGUGGAAACGAAGCAAGGGAGGCUCUUCGGCCUUCAAACAUAAAAAUAACUCAUAAUUUAAUUAAUGAAUAAUUAAUCUGUAAUUGAGCCGGCUGUUAUCACACUGUGCCAUCACAGCUAUAACAAUUAACACAGAGCUCUCCAUAAAGGGAGGAGAACAGGCGCUCAGUCAAGUCAAUAUCGGGGCAGAAACUAUUUGAGCAGUGACAUUAUUUUGUUUACAGUCAUGUUUAAAAUUUAGGGGAAUAAAGUCUGGAAUUUUCUUAGAAUUAGAAUUAGAUGAACUGUUUUAAUACAUGUCUAUGCCACUGACAAGAAGGUGAUGAAACUCUGCCGCUGCUUUUGCUUCGGUGGAUUUUCCAAAAUCCUCCAGGGCGACACCUUCUGUCCUUGGGCCCUUAAAGUGAAUGGAAAUGCCUCAGGUUGGUUGUAAAACUAUGUUCAGUUAAGACAAGAAACUUUAAAAAUCCAUUUCAUUCUGUCCUAAACUAAAAACCUCUCCAAUAAACACGAGUGUCCUCGUUAUCCUUAAUGAGAU
rnacentral:lncRNA from 1 species